ACGGCCAACAUACCAGAGGGUUGUGCUGCCAUCCAGAUGGACUUCCACAGGCUGGAGAAAUGGGCUGACAGGAACCUCAUGCAGUUCAACAGGGGGAAAUGUAAAUUCCUGCAUGUGGGAAAAAACAAGCCCAGCCUUUCUAGUACAAGAGACAUGGACAUACAAAGGGUCAUGAAGAUCAUGAAGUCUCUGGAGUAUCUCUCGUAUGAGGAGAGGCUGAGAGGGCUGGGACAGUUUAGCCUGGAGGAGAAAAAGCUCAGAUGGGAAGAGGGAGCCAAGCUCUUUUCAGUGGUGUCCAGUGACAGAACACAAGAGGCAAUGGGCGCAAACUCAAACACAGGACAUGGUGUUUGAAUAUCACAAAACAUCUUUGACUGUGAGGGUGGCUAAGCACUGACCCAGGUUUCCCCCGAGAGGUCGUGGAGUCUCCCACCUUGGAUAUAUUCAAAAGCCACCUGGACAUGGCCAUGAGCAGCCAACUGUGAGUGACCUUGCAGAGUGUUUAGACAAGAUGACCUCCAAAGGUCCCUUCCAACCUCAAUUAUUCCGUAAUCUGCGAAAAGCCUCUUGACUGGGAUGGCUACUUUAGUUAACAAUUAAGGUGCAUAAAAGAGGUGGCCUUUAUAGUACCCAUUGUAAUAAGUUAAACUUUCAAAGGUGUAAGAGUUAUCCUGUAAAUUAUUCAAUACAUUUACAGAAAACAAAGCAAUAUCUAAAAUUCCACCUUAUAUUUAAAAACAAAAGCUGUUUGGUCACAAAUUCAAAGACAUACCAUUUUGAAAACAAAAAACAUACCAACUAGAGGUUCUUCUCUUUUGGGAUCAUUGAUAAAAUCCUUCAGACAGGUUA